AUUUGGAGAUGAAGAGUAUUUAUUCAUAUUUCAGGAAGCUUAUGCAGCUGCCAUGUACUAUCUUUUCAACGAUCCUUGGUACGUGGAGGUAAACAUGGAUUCUGCUGCUCUUGUCUGGCCGUUAUUUAACAGUUUGCAGGCUUUCUGGCCAGGCCUUCAGGUUUUAGCGGGGGAUAUUGACCCUGCAAUUCGAACUCAUCGUGCCUUCUUUAGCGUUUGGAAAAAAUAUGGUUUCACUCCUGAGGGCUUCAAUCUUGCUACACUGAGU